GAGUUUGAUCAUGGCUCAGAKUGAACGCUGGCGGCAYGCCUAACACAUGCAAGUCGCACGCGAAAGGGGGCAACCCUGAGUAGAGUGGCGGACGGGUGAGUAACGCGUAGGAAUCUACCUGGUAGUGGGGGACAACCCSGKKRAAAMCSGGSYUAAUACCGCAUACGAUCCACGGAUGAAAGCAGGGGACCGCAAGGCCUYGCGCUAUCAGAUGAGCCUGCGUCGGAUUAGCUAGUUGGUGAGGUAACGGCUCACCAAGGCGACGAUCCGUAGCUGGUUUGAGAGAACGACCAGCCACACCGGAACUGAGACACGGUCCGGACUYCUACGGGAGGCAGCAGUGGGGAAUAUUGGACAAUGGGGGCAACCCUGAUCCAGCAAUGCCGCGUGUGUGAAGAAGGCCUUCGGGUUGUAAAGCACUUUCGGUGGGGACAAACAAGGCGGAGCUAACAUCUCCGUCCCUGAUGGUACCCAAAGAAGAAGCACCGGCUAACUCUGUGCCAGCAGCCGCGGUAAUUCA
rnacentral:rRNA from 1 species